rnacentral:rRNA from 1 species
GAGGAAAGAGGGGGGCGUGCUUAACACAUGCAAGUCGAACGGACAGGCCCUGCUUUUGUGGGGUGCUCGAGUGGCGAACGGGUGAGUAACACGUGAGUAACCUGCCCUUGACUUUGGGAUAACUUCAGGAAACUGGGGCUAAUACCGGAUAGGAGCUCCUGCUGCAUGGUGGGGGUUGGAAAGUUUCGGCGGUUGGGGAUGGACUCGCGGCUUAUCAGCUUGUUGGUGGGGUAGUGGCUUACCAAGGCUUUGACGGGUAGCCGGCCUGAGAGGGUGACCGGCCACAUUGGGACUGAGAGACGGCCCAGACUCCUACGGGAGGCAGCAGUGGGGAAUAUUGCACAAUGGGCGGAAGCCUGAGGCAGCAACGCCGAGUGCGGGAUGACGGCCUUCGGGUUGUAAACCGCUUUCGCCUGUGACGAAGCGGGAGUGACGGUAAUGGGUAAAGAAGCACCGGCUAACUACGUG